AACAUCUAAGUACCCCGAGGAAAAGAAAUCAACCGAGAUUCCGAAAGUAGCGGCGAGCGAAAUUGGACUAGCCCUUAAGCUUUACACGCGUUAGACGAACGGUCUGGAAAGUCCGACGAUACAGGGUGAUAGUCCCGUAGUUGACGACGUGUGUUCAGUGAAAUCGAGUAGGGCGGGACACGUGAUAUCCUGUCUGAAUAUGGGGGGACCAUCCUCCAAGGCUAAAUACUACUGACUGACCGAUAGUGAACCAGUACCGUGAGGGAAAGGCGAAAAGAACCCCUGUGAGGGGAGUGAAAUAGAACCUGAAACCGUGUACGUACAAGCAGUAGGAGCAGGCUUUGUCCUGUGACUGCGUACCUUUUGUAUAAUGGGUCAGCGACUUAUAUUCAGUGGCAAGGUUAACCAUCUAGGGGAGCCGUAGGGAAACCGAGUCUUAACUGGGCGUUCAGUCUCUGGAUAUAGACCCGAAACCAGGUGAUCUAGCCAUGGGCAGGUUGAAGGUUGAGUAACAUCAACUGGAGGACCGAACCGACUAAUGUUGAAAAAUUAGCGGAUGACUUGUGGCUAGGGGUGAAAGGCCAAUCAAACCUGGAGAUAGCUGGUUCUCCCCGAAAGCUAUUUAGGUAGCGCCUCGGACGAAUACUACUGGGGGUAGAGCACUGUUAAGGCUAGGGGGUCAUCCCGACUUACCAACCCUUUGCAAACUCCGAAUACCAGUAAGUACUAUCCGGGAGACACACGGCGGGUGCUAACGUCCGUCGUGGAGAGGGAAACAACCCAGACCGCCAGCUAAGGUCCCAAAUUACUACUAAGUGGGAAACGAUGUGGGAAGGCUCAGACAGCCAGGAUGUUGGCUUAGAAGCAGCCAUCAUUUAAAGAAAGCGUAAUAGCUCACUGGUCGAGUCGGCCUGCGCGGAAGAUGUAACGGGGCUAAGUAGUAAACCGAAGCUGCGGCAAUAUACUUUUGUAUAUUGGGUAGGGGAGCGUUCUGUAAGCGGUUGAAGGUGUGUGGUAACGCAUGCUGGACGUAUCAGAAGUGCGAAUGCUGACAUGAGUAACGAUAAAGGGGGUGAAAAACCUCCUCGCCGGAAGACCAAGGGUUCCUGUCCAACGUUAAUCGGGGCAGGGUAAGUCGACCCCUAAGGCGAGGCCGAAAGGCGUAGUCGAUGGGAAACGGGUUAAUAUUCCCGUACUUCUUACAAUUGCGAUGGGGGGACGGAGAAGGCUAGGUGGGCCUGGCGACGGUUGUCCAGGUUCAAGUGCGUAGGCUUAAGAGUUAGGUAAAUCCGGCUCUUUUUAAGGCUGAGACACGACGUCGAGCUGCUACGGCAGUGAAGUCAUUGAUGCCAUGCUUCCAGGAAAAGCCUCUAAGCUUCAGAUUGUAAGGAAUCGUACCCCAAACCGACACAGGUGGUCGGGUAGAGAAUACCAAGGCGCUUGAGAGAACUCGGGUGAAGGAACUAGGCAAAAUGGUACCGUAACUUCGGGAGAAGGUACGCUCUUGAUGGUGAAGUCCCUUGCGGAUGGAGC
rnacentral:rRNA from 1 species